rnacentral:rRNA from 1 species
UACGAAGGGGGCGAGCGUUGUUCGGAAUUACUGGGCGUAAAGGGCUCGUAGGCGGCCAACUAAGUCAGACGUGAAAUCCCUCGGCUUAACCGGGGAACUGCGUCUGAUACUGGAUGGCUUGAGGUUGGGAGAGGGAUGCGGAAUUCCAGGUGUAGCGGUGAAAUGCGUAGAUAUCUGGAGGAACACCGGUGGCGAAGGCGGCAUCCUGGACCAAUUCUGACGCUGAGGAGCGAAAGCCAGGGGAGCAAACGGG